GUUUGUGAAACCCGACGGGAUGAAGGGCUAGGCUCGCCUCCAGAGUAGUGUAGUUUCUCCCGCCGUGGGCACCCGGCCCCUUGCUACCCCGCAAAAUCUCGCGACCAUUUACUCUGGCCAUCCGAAGGCGCGUGCCUGGGUUGCACUCCCGUGUCCGGCCCUCGAGGUUCUUGCCUAGGGAAGACCCGAGCCCUAGGGCCGUACUUAAGCUGCCUGCGUGCAGGACCCGGGUUUUGCUUUUGCUAAUUUCCUCCCCACCCCAGGGCUGGGCACUUACUGUGUGCAGGCGCUGUUCUAUGGACUCAGGAUACAUCAGCUACCGAAGCAAAGAUCCCUAACCUUGUGAAACUGACAUUCUGGUGGGAGGACAGAUCCAAUAAAAACUAAAAUAAAUAAGUCAAUGAUGUAGUGUGUUAAAAAGUGAUCGGUGCUGGCUGGGCGCCGUGGCUCAUGCCUAUGAUCCCAACACUUUGGGAAGCCGAGGCAGGCGGAUCACCUGAGGUCAGGAGUUCGAGACCAGCCUGGCCAACAUGGUGAAACCCUGUCUCUAGUAAAAAUACAAAAUUAGCUGGGUGUGAUGGCACACACCUGUAAUCCCAGCUACUCUGGAGGCUGAGGCAGGAGAAUCGCUUGAACCCGGAAGGCAGAGGUUGCAGUGAGCUGAGAUGGUGCCGC
rnacentral:lncRNA from 1 species